rnacentral:tRNA from 2 species
GCGGGAUGGAGCAGCCUGGUAGCUCGUCGGGCUCAUAACCCGAAGGUCGUCGGUUCAAAUCCGGC